rnacentral:rRNA from 1 species
AUUGAACGCUGGCGGCAGGCUUAACACAUGCAAGUCGAGCGAGCGGCGGACGGGUGAGUAAUGUAUGGGAAAAUGCCUGAUGGCGGGGGAUAACUACUGGAAACGGUAGCUAAUACCGCAUACCAUCAGAUGUGCCCAGAUGGGAUUAGCUAGUAGGUGGGGUAAUGGCUCACCUAGGCGACGAUCCCUAGCUGGUCUGAGAGAAUGACCAGCCACACGGUGACUGUAACCCGGUCCAGACGCCGCCGGAGGGCGGCAGUGGGUAAUAUUGCAAGAUUGGGGCAAGUCUGGUGCAGCCAUGCCGCGUGUGUGAAGAAGGCCUUCGGGUUGUGAAGCACUUUCAGCGAGGAGGGGUUACUCGCAGAAGAAGCACCGGCUAACUCCGUGCCAGAGGCCGCGGUAAUUC